rnacentral:rRNA from 2 species
GGAUCCGAUCAUACCAGUACUAACACACCGGAUCCUAUUAGAACUCCGCAGUUAAGUGUGUUUGGACGAGAGUAGUACUAGGAAGGAUAACCCUUUGGAAAUCUUGGGGUUGCAUCCU